AACGAACGCUGGCGGCAGGCUUAACACAUGCAAGUCGAGCGCGCGCCUUCGGGCGUGAGCGGCGGACGGGUGAGUAACGCGUGGGAACGUGGCCUCUUCUUCGGAAUAGCCCUGGGAAACUGGGAGUAAUGCCGGAUACGCCCCCCGAUCAAAUUCCAUUUGAUUGGCGAACUUUACGAAUCGUCGGAUUCCAGGAGUGGAAUUUGAUGGGGGGGAAAGAUUUAUCGGAGGAGGAUCGGCCCGCGUCGGAUUAGGUAGUUGGUGGGGUAACGGCCUACCAAGCCGACGAUCCGUAGCUGGUUUGAGAGGAUGAUCAGCCACACUGGGACGGAGACACGGCCCAGACUCCUACGGGAGGCAGCAGUGGGGAAUCUUGGGCAAUGGGGGCAACCCUGACCCAGCCAUGCCGCGUGAGCGAUGAAGGCCUUAGGGUUGUAAAGCUCUUUCAGCGGGGAAGAUAAUGACGGUACCCGCAGAAGAAGCCCCGGCUAACUCCGUGCCAGCAGCCGCUGUAACAC
rnacentral:rRNA from 1 species